GACCUCUUGGUGCAGUGGUAGCAUAGUCGGUGUAAACACCCCCAGACCUAGGUUCGAUUCCUAGAGAGGUUC